rnacentral:rRNA from 1 species
GGUUGCUUUCACAUGCAAGUCGUACGAGAGUUUUUAAUUCAAGUGGCGGACGGGUGAGUAACACGUAAGAGUUUGCCUCUAGGAGGGGGACAACAACUGGAAACGGUUGCUAAUACCCCAUAUGCUUCCGAGUGAAAUGGAAUUUUCCGCCUAGAGAGAAGCUUGCGGCUGAUUAGCUUGUUGGUAAGGUAAUGGCUUACCAAGGCGACGAUCAGUAUCUGGUUUGAGAGGACGAUCAGACACACUGGAACUGAGACACGGUCCAGACUCCUACGGGAGGCAGCAGUGGGGAAUUUUCCGCAAUGGGCGAAAGCCUGACGGAGCAAUACCGCGUGAGGGAUGACGGCCUAUGGGUUGUAACCUCUUUUUUCAGGGAGGAAUAAAAUGACGUGUACCUGAAGAAUAAGCAUCGGCUAACUCCGUGCCAGCAGCCGCGGUAAGACGGAGGAUGCAAGUGUUAUCCGGAAUCACUGGGCGUAAAGCGUCUGUAGGUGGUUUGAUAAGUCAACUGUUAAAUCUUGAGGCUCAACCUCAAAAUCGCAGUCGAAACUAUUAGACUAGAGUAUAGUAGGGGUAAAGGGAAUUUCCAGUGGAGCGGUGAAAUGCGUAGAGAUUGGAAAGAACACCGAUGGCGAAGGCACUUUACUGGGCUAUUACUGACACUCAGAGACGAAAGCUAGGGUAGCAAAUGGGAUUAGAUACCCCAGUAGUCCUAGCCGUAAACAAUGGAUACUAGAUGUUGAACAGAUCGACCUGUGCAGUAUUAAAGCUAACGCGUUAAGUAUCCCGCCUGGGAAGUAUGCUCGCAAGAGUGAAACUCAAAGAAUUGACGGGGCCCGCACAAGCG